rnacentral:rRNA from 1 species
UACGGGGGGUGCGAGCGUUGUCCGGAAUCACUGGGCGUAAAGGGCGCGUAGGUGGUCUGAUAAGGGUGUGGUGAAAGCCCGGGGCUCAACCCCGGGUCGGCCGUGCCGACUGUUAGACUAGAGUGCUGUAGGGGCAGGCGGAAUUCCGGGUGUAGCGGUGAAAUGCGCAGAUAUCAGGAGGAACACCGGUGGCGAAGGCGGAUCUCUGGGCCUUACCUGACGCUCAGGUGCGAAAGCUAGGGGAGCGAACAGG